UACGUAGGGUGCAAGCGUUAAUCGGAAUUACUGGGCGUAAAGCGUGCGCAGGCGGUGAUGUAAGACAGUUGUGAAAUCCCCGGGCUCAACCUGGGAACUGCAUCUGUGCUGCAUCGCUGGAGUGCGGCAGAGGGGGAUGGAAUUCCGCGUGUAGCAGUGAAAUGCGUAGAUAUGCGGAGGAACACCGAUGGCGAAGGCAAUCCCCUGGGCCUGCACUGACGCUCAUGCACGAAAGCGUGGGGAGCAAACAGG
rnacentral:rRNA from 1 species